UCAUUAUCAUAGACUGAGCCAACACAGUACAGGAGUUGCUGGGGCUGGAUGCAAAGAAGACUACAAGCAAGUAGACAAUAUUAAAGCCACAUCUGCCUAAGCUCUUCCUCAACGUGUGGAACAAAGAAGGCAUAUCACAGGUCUCCCAAGAUGUCACCAUCUUUUUGAAGAAAGGAAAGAUUGUGGCCUGUGGAAAUUACUGGGAUUUUUUUUUACUCCUUUCCAUUACUGUUGGACAGAUUACCAAAGAUGAUAAACCAUGCCUACUUGCCAUUCUAAAGGCAUUUUUUUACCUUUCACCCUUUGGCUAAGUUAUCGUUCACUUCCUCCAAUAAAGAGAAGGAAUAAAUUGCA